CCAAUAGCGUAUAUUAAAGUUGUUGCAGUUAAAAAGCUCGUAGUUGAAUUUCGGGGUCAGUAGGUUGGUCGUGCCUCUGGUAUGUACUGGUCUUACUGAUUCCUCCUUCUUGAAGAACUGUAAUGUCAUUUAUUUGGUGUUGCAGGGACACAGGACUGUUACUUUGAAAAAAUUAGAGUGUUUAAAGCAGGCAAACGCUUGAAUACAUUAGCAUGGAAUAAUGAAAUAGGACGUUGAUCCUAUUUUGUUGGUUUCUAGGAUUGACGUAAUGAUUAAUAGGGAUAGUUGGGGGCAUUAGUAUUCAAUUGUCAGAGGUGAAAUUCUUGGAUUUAUUGAAGACUAACUACUGCGAAAGCAUUUGCCAAGGAUGUUUUCAUUAAUCAAGAACGAAAGUUAGGGGAUCGAAGACGAUCAGAUACCGUCGUAGUCUUAACCAUAAACUAUGCCGACUAGGGAUCGGAUGAUGUUAAUUUUUUAAUGACUCAUUCGGCGCCUUACG
rnacentral:rRNA from 1 species